rnacentral:rRNA from 1 species
AUUGAACGCUGGCGGCAUGCCUUACACAUGCAAGUCGAACGGCAGCACGGGUGCUUGCACCUGGUGGCGAGGGGCGAACGGGUGAGUAAUAUAUCGGAACGUACCUUAUUGUGGGGGAUAACGCAGCGAAAGCUGUGCUAAUACCGCAUAAUCCCUUAGGGGGAAAGCGGGGGACCGUAAGGCCUCGCGCAAUUAGAGCGGCCGAUACCUGAUUAGCUAGUUGGUGAGGUAAGGCUCACCAAGGCGACGAUCAGUAGCUGGUCUGAGAGGACGAUCAGCCACACUGGGACUGAGACACGGCCCAGACUCCUACGGGAGGCAGCAGUGGGGAAUUUUGGACAAUGGGGGCAACCCUGAUCCAGCAAUGCCGCGUGAGUGAAGAAGGCCUUCGGGUUGUAAAGCUCUCUUGUCAGGGAAGAAACAGCAGCUCUAACACAGUAUGCGAAUGACGGUACCUGAAGAAUAAGCACCGGCUAACUACGUGCCAGCCGCCGCCGUAA